CGGAGGGUGCAAGCGUUAUCCGGAUUCACUGGGUUUAAAGGGUGCGUAGGAGGGCAGGUAAGUCCAGUGGUGAAAUCUCCGAGCUUUAACUUGGAAACUGCCGUUGAUACUAUCUGUCUUGAACUAUUGUUGGAGGUGAGCGGAAAUAUGUCAUGUAGCGGUGAAAUGCUUAGAUAUGACAUAGAACACAAUUGCGAAGGCAGCUCGCUACACAAAUAUUCGACUCUCGACGGCACGAAAGCGUGGGGAUCAAACAGGAUUAGAUACCUGGUAGUCCACGCCCUAAACGAUGGAUACUCGACAUACGCGAUACACAGUGUGUGUCUGAGCGAAAGCAUUAAGUAUCCCACCUGGGAAGUACGACGCAAGGUUG
rnacentral:rRNA from 1 species